AUUGAACGCUGGCGGCAUGCCUUACACAUGCAAGUCGAACGGCAGCAUGAUCUAGCUUGCUAGAUUGAUGGCGAGUGGCGAACGGGUGAGUAAUACAUCGGAACGUGCCCUGUAGUGGGGGAUAACUAGUCGAAAGAUUAGCUAAUACCGCAUACGACCUGAGGGUGAAAGUGGGGGACCGCAAGGCCUCAUGCUAUAGGAGCGGCCGAUGUCUGAUUAGCUAGUUGGUGAGGUAAAGGCUCACCAAGGCGACGAUCAGUAGCUGGUCUGAGAGGACGAUCAGCCACACUGGGACUGAGACACGGCCCAGACUCCGACGGGAGGCAGCAGUGGGGAAUUUUGGACAAUGGGCGAAAGCCUGAUCCAGCAAUGCCGCGUGUGUGAAGAAGGCCUUCGGGUUGUAAAGCACUUUUGUCCGGAAAGAAAUGGCUCUGGUUAAUACCUGGGGUCGAUGACGGUACCGGAAGAAUAAGGACCGGCUAACUACGUG
rnacentral:rRNA from 1 species